rnacentral:rRNA from 1 species
GACAGAGGCCUCGAGCGUUAGGCGGAAUCACUGGGCUUAAAGCGUGUGUAGGCGGAUCGUUAAGUACCUUGUGAAAUCCCACGGCUCAACCGUGGAACGGCUGGGUAUACUGGCGGUCUUGGGCCAUUCAGGGGCGACUGGAACAAGCGGUGGAGCGGUGAAAUGCGUAGAUAUCGCUUGGAACGCCGAAGGUGAAAACAGGUCGCUGGGGAUGUGCCGACGCUGAGACACGAGAGCCAGGGGAGCAAACGGG